ACACCGAUGGUGAAACGGUUAUCCUGCUUGCCUUCCAUGUGAAUUGGCGUACACGAUGUGUAAGCAAGUGGCAGGGGUUCGACUCCCCUUCGGUGGA